rnacentral:rRNA from 1 species
CCGAAUUCGUCGACAACAGAGUUUGAUCCUGGCUCAGGAUGAACGCUGGCGGCGUGCUUAACACAUGCAAGUCGAACGAUGAAGCCGGAGCUUGCUUUGGUGGAUUAGUGGCGAACGGGUGAGUAACACGUGAGUAACCUGCCCCCGACUCUGGGAUAAGCCCGGGAAACUGGGUCUAAUACCGGAUAUGACCAUGGAACGCAUGUUUUGUGGUGGAAAGAUUUAUCGGUGGGGGAUGGACUCGCGGCCUAUCAGCUUGUUGGUGAGGUAAUGGCUCACCAAGGCGACGACGGGUAGCCGGCCUGAGAGGGUGACCGGCCACACUGGGACUGAGACACGGCCCAGACUCCUACGGGAGGCAGCAGUGGGGAAUAUUGCACAAUGGGCGAAAGCCUGAUGCAGCGACGCCGCGUGAGGGAUGACGGCCUUCGGGUUGUAAACCUCUUUCAGUAGGGAAGAAGCGAAAGUGACGGUACCUGCAGAAGAAGCGCCGGCUAACUACGUGCCAGCAGCCGCGGUAAUACGUAGGGCGCAAGCGUUAUCCGGAUUUAUUGGGCGUAAAGAGCUCGUAGGCGGUUUGUCGCGUCUGCCGUGAAAGUCCGAGGCUCAACCUCGGAUCUGCGGUGGGUACGGGCAGGCUAGAGUGAUGUAGGGGAGACUGGAAUUCCUGGUGUAGCGGUGAAAUGCGCAGAUAUCAGGAGGAACACCGAUGGCGAAGGCAGGUCUCUGGGCAUUUACUGACGCUGAGGAGCGAA